rnacentral:rRNA from 1 species
UACGUAGGGGGCGAGCGUUAUCCGGAUUUACUGGGUGUAAAGGGAGCGUAGACGGCCAUGCAAGCUCGGUGUGAAAGGUGCGGGCACAACCCGCAGACUGCACUGAGAACUGUAUGGCUGGAGUGCCGGAGGGGCAGGCGGAAUUCCUGGUGUAGCGGUGAAAUGCGUAGAUAUCAGGAGGAACACCGGUGGCGAAGGCGGCUUACUGGACCAUGACUGACGUUGAGGCUCGAAAGCGUGGGGAGCGAACAGG